rnacentral:lncRNA from 1 species
GUUGUUGUCUUAAGCCACAGGGUUUGGAGGUGGCUUGUUCCGCAGCACUGGAUAACAAAACAUGCUGAGACUUGGUAUCGUGGAAGUUAGCCCGGCCAAAUGGAGAACACGUGAGAGGCGUGAGAUGGCACAGCGAUCUGGAUUCUGUAUAGGAGGCUGAAUAGGAGACUGGGAGUAUAGGUCGGGGAGAGGCAUUUACUGGAACUGGAGGUCGGCCAAGUCUAGAUCAGAGCAGUUGAAGACUGUGGAAGCAAUGUGACCAGCAUCUAAGUUCCUGACGCCUUGACUUAACCCAGGAUGAACAAUACCCUAAGCCAUACAACCAAACUUUCCUUUUCUUUCAGCUCGAGUCUGCCAUCUCAGCCAUACCCUGUUCCUCAAGAGCCGCUGGAUGGCACACAACAGUUUGGCACCUGAACAGGGACCUGAAGAAUGGCAGAAGGACGCUGAGAGAACGCUGUCCAUGUGGAGCUCCAUGGGAAAAGCAAAUGGUCUUCGUAUGGGGCACCAGAGCAACAAACAGAUCAACAGCUGCCCUGCCUCCCACUCCAACUCCAGAGAGCAGCCAGCGGGUCACAGUGGUCCCGCCCAUGGACCUGGAGCCUAGGGAAAAAUGAGCUCGGAAAUCCGGAGCAAAUGAGGAGUGGUCCCUGAGAAGUCAGUGGCCCUGGAUGUUGUGGCUGCUGAAGAAAAAAAGAAGAGGAGGCUGUUCGAGUAACCGGCCAAGAGCGCUGCAGGUUCCCAGGCAGCUUCUCAUUCCCCUGUCCCUCCCAUCCCGUCUCUUGUUAACAGAAAAACUGCUUUCACUUUAAGAUAAGUGCCGGUUGCAGCCAGCUGUGAGAGCUGCACUCCCGUCUCUGCUCUAAAGUUCCCUCUUCUCAGAAGGUGGCACCACCCUGAGUUGCUGGCAGUGAGUCUGUUCCAAGUUCCAGUGAGGGAGGCAUCCACCCACUUGGGGCUUCUGUCCAAGGUAAGGAGCACCUGUGAGUCUAACUGCCAGGCUCUGAUGGGGGUCUCGUCUCUGUGGGACUAGAAAGUCCCAACAAUCUGACCAAGGUAAUAAGAGUCAGACAAGAAAAAGAGUUAAAGAAACAUGAGGCUGACAAAGACAGAAACCAGAGUCAGAAUCAGAGCUGUGCUGUGAGACAAAAAAAUAAGAAAAAUGAAAUGUUGGCCACAAAAGUCAGGAAAAUUAAAAAACUUAGAUAGUACCUGGCAACAAAAGAAAGCUUUUGGCUGAAGAUCAAUGUGUUUAAGAGAUAACAAAAGGGGUGCUAAUACAGAAGCUGAGUCCUUAAAAGAGUCCGGUGGCCUACCUGUUGAAGCAGCUAGAAAAAGAGACUGUGUUUCAUAUUCCUCCACCGACCAGUGCAAAACAAGCUAAAAAGUUCCUGGGCACUGCGGGCUUUUACAGAUUGUAGAUUCCAGGUUUUGCUGAGUUAAAGAGAUAAACAGCCCUUCGUAUAUAAAAAAGAGAACAAUCUUACAUGGCCUUGGAUGCUCUUAAGACUGCCCUGAUGUUAUCCCCAGCUAUGGGACUCCUAGAUGUGACUGAGAACAAAGGUAUUGCUAAAAGAAGUUCUUACUCAGAGAUUGGGACCCUGGAAAAGACCUGUGGCAUACUUAUAAAAAAUUAGACCUGGUGGCUGUAGGAUGGCCUGCUUGUCUGCACAUAGUGGCUUCUGGUCAAGGACGCAGAUAAAUUGACUCUGAGACAAAACUUGGCACAUGUCCUAGAAAGUGUGGUUCAGCCCCCAUGAUCGAUGGCUGACUAACGCUCUUAAAAGCAUUAUCCAACUGUUCCCCUGACCGAUGGACACAUUGUCAGAGCUUUGACUGAACGAGUGACCUUCGCUCCCCCUGCUAUCCUCGAUCUCACUACUGCCUGAGACUUCACCUACUCAUCAUUGUGCUGACAUUCUGGCAGAAGGAACUCAUACUCGAAAUGAUCUGAAGGAUCAGAUCAGCCUUGGCCUGAGAGUUCGAGCUGGUACACGGAUGGCAGUAGCCUCGAGGUUAAGGGUAAGCGGAAGGCGGGGACAGCAGUGCAGUGGUGGACAGAAAGCAAGUGAUCUAGGCCAGCAGCCUCCCUAAAGGGACUUCAGCCCAGAAAGCUAAACUUGUGGCUUUAAUACAAGCUCUAUAUAUACAGACAAAGAGAGCUGUUGACAUCUGCAGAGAAAGACCUAAGAUGCUGUGGCUAAAAGAAAUCAGAUGGCAAAUCUAACCGCCCAGGCAUCCUAAAGAGCAAUGAUCCUGACAGUCUGAAGACUAUCAAGUUAUAGACAAAUUAAGACUGGUAAAAAAAACCCUGUAUAAAAUAGUAAAAACUGAAGAAAGAAAACUAGUCCUCUCAUGAAAAGACAGACCUGACAUCUACUGAAAAAUAGACUUUACUGGAAAAAAUAUGUGUAUGAAUACCUUCUAGUUUUUGUGAACGUUCUCAAGAUGGAUAAAAGCGUUUCCUUGUAAAACUGAGACUGCUCAGAUAGUCAUCAAGAAGAUUAUUAAAAAUUUUCCAAGGUUCGGAGUGCCAAAAGCAAUAGUGUCAGAUAAUGGUCCUGCCUUUGUUGCCCAGGUAAGUCAGGGUGUGGCCAAGUAUUUAGAGGUCAAAUAAAAAUUGUAUUAUGUGUACAGACCUCAGAACUCAGGACAGAUAAAAAUAAUGAAUAAAACUCUAAACAGACCUUGACAAAAUUAAUCCUAGAGACUGGCACAGACUUACUUGGUGCCCCUUCCCCUUGCCCUAUUGAAAACUGAGAAUACUCCCUCUUGAUUCAGUUUUACUCUUUUUGAGAUCCUUUAUGGGGCUCCAGUGCCCAUCACUGUCUUAAAUGAUGUGUUUAUAAUAAUGAUCUAUAUGUUAAGUUAAAAGGCUUGCAGGUGGUGCAGAAAGAAGUCUGGUCACAACUGGCUACAGUGAACGAGCCAGGUACCCCAAGGACAACUCACCAGUUCCAGCCAGAGAUCUGAUCUACGUACACCUGCGUCAUGCUGAGACCCUCAAGCCUCACUAAAAGGGUCCCUGCCUAGUUCUGUUUACUAAUCUGCCUUAUUCUGUUUCUGUUCCCAUGUUAAAGAUAGAGUAAAUGCAGUAUUCUCCACAUAGAGAUAUAGAUUUCUGAAAUUCUAAGAUUAGAAUUACUUACAAGAAGAAGUGGGGAAUGAAGAAUAGAAAAUUACUGGCCUCUUGUGAAAACAUGAAUUUUUUACCUCGGAGCCCACCCCCUCCCAUCUAGAGAUUGUUCCCAGAACACUCCUAAACUUUUCACCCCAAAACUCCUCACCCUAAAGUUCGAACCCUCCCAACUAAAAACUGUUCCAAGAACAUUUUUGAGAUAAAGGCCUCCUAGAACAACCUCAAAAUGAACCAGGUACUCCUUAGUUACGUAGGUUCCUUGAUAGGACAUGACUCCUUAGUUACAUAGAUUCCUUUGGCAGAACUCCCUAGUGAUGUAAACUUGUACUUUCCCUGCCCAGUUCUCCCCCUUUGAGUUUUACUAUAUAAGCCUGUAAAAAAUUUUUGCUGACCGUCGAGACUCCUCUACCCUGUGCAAAGGUGUAUGAGUUUCGACCCCAGAGCUCUGUGUGCUUUCUGUUGCUGCUUUAUUUCGACCCCAGAGCUCUGGUCUGUGUGCUUUCAUGUUGUUGCUACUUUAUUAAAUCUUACCUUCUACAUUUUA